AUAGAAGCAAUACUAGAGCACUGGGAUGUCUGCACACAAGUGCCUGACUAAAGUGACUUUAAACUGAAGCAUGUUUCUUUGUAUAAUUAAUGGAACUUCCUGCUCCCUUCCCUUCUCAGCUUGUAGUAAAACUAAACAAGGCACUGUACAGCUUGAAGAAAAUUCAUAAGAGUCUAUUCUGGCAUCUGAACUGCCACCCAAGUCUCUCUGAUUUUGGGUCAGCAGUUAAGUCGAGCAUAAGAGCAAUGUGACUGAGGGCAUCAUUGUUAGUUCCACAUCAAGAAAUCUAACGAAAAGAUAGGUUGCAUGUGGAAUGAGACCAGAUAAUGGAACAGAGUGAAAUGAGCCUAUAUACAACUGUGAAAAUAACAGAAAAGGGUAUUUUUUU